CAUACCAUUUGUUGCCUCGGCGGUGCCUGCUUCGGCAGCCCGCCAGAGGACCCAAACCCUUGAUUUUAUACAGUAUCUUCUGAGUAAAUGAUUAAAUAAAUCAAAACUUUCAACAACGGAUCUCUUGGUUCUGGCAUCGAUGAAGAACGCAGCGAAAUGCGAUAAGUAAUGUGAAUUGCAGAAUUCAGUGAAUCAUCGAAUCUUUGAACGCACAUUGCGCCCGCCAGUAUUCUGGCGGGCAUGCCUGUUCGAGCGUCAUUUCAACCCUCAAGCCCCCGGGCUUGGUGUUGGAGAUCGGCGUGCCCUCUGGGGCGCGCCGGCUCCCAAAUAUAGUGGCGGUCUCGCUGUAGCUUCCUCUGCGUAGUAGCACACCUCGCACUGGGAAACAGCGUGGCCACGCCGUUAAACCCCCCACUUCUGAAAGGUUGACCUCGGAUCAGGUAGGAAUACCCGCUGAACUUAAGCAUAUCAAU
rnacentral:rRNA from 1 species